GGCCGGAGGGGAGGAAGCAGGAGCGGGCGUGCGGCCGCGCAGGGGCUGCCCAGGAGCGACGCGACCGGGCCGGGAGGAGCAGGGGUCUCACUGUGUAGCUCAGGCUAGCCUCAAGCUUGCAGCGAUCCUCCUGUCUUGGCUUCCCGAGUGCUGGGACUGCAGAAGUGGGCCUCCACACUGAGCACCACCCAGCCCACUUUUCUGAUGAAGCAACCAGGCCUAGGGAGGCCCUGCCGACUGGCUCACUGGCUUCUCCCAGG
rnacentral:lncRNA from 1 species